rnacentral:misc_RNA from 1 species
GCUGCAAUGCCGUCAACGUUGAUCUGCACGCCGAAACGACAGACGGUCUGCCCUGAGAGGGCGAAGAUGCGUUUGAGCAGCGGCACGCCGCGCGGCAGAUAACCACCAUCCGACAAUGUCGUUCUCCGGCGGCGUCACCACGGCCAGCAUGGUGACAUAGAGACGGUCUGGCGACUGCACCGCGUAAAGACCAAGCGGAACGCUCGGCGUGAGAUUCCAGAUAUAAUGUGGCGGUGAGUUCGCGCCGAGGGCUGCGAGCAGACUUGCGACCGCUAGUGACGCAGCG